UCUCCCCCAACCCACCCCCACCCCCCACGUCGCCUAUCCUCUCCCCCACCCCACGCAUUUCCCUUACCCUCCCCCAUGUGAUGUGGAUAUCUAGUUCAGCGAUCAACUUGAGUUCCUUAUAGAUCGACUUUCGACUGCCCCUUCCCAUCUCUACUCCUAUGAGAAACCCUCUGAGUCGCCCAAGUUCCUCUCAGCAACCCUCUCUAAGUCGCCAAAGCUCGAUCUCUAAGAUCCAGACUCCCUCGUGCCCGAUCUCCCCGUGCCUUCAUCUCAUCGUCCUCCUCUCUUCUUCAAUAUUUUUCUUUGAUUGUAUAAUAUCUAUGAACGCUAUGUAUUUGUUCUAUUUGUGCUCAAGAUAACUUUAUAACACAUGAAACUUUCUACUGAGAAAGAAAAGAAAAUCUUAGGAACGUAACAUGGGAAAAAAGCUGAACAAUCGUAAGUACUAUGAUGGGUGGCAAACUCAAUUUUCAGCAAGUAUCAGGUUUGGAAGAGGGAGGAGGACGUAUUGCGAAGAAGGGAAGAUAAACUAAGAGAGAGAGACAAAUGCCCAUAAGGUUGAGGUUGAACAAAAUUUGUGGAGGGUCGAGAAUAGAAAUGCACGAAUAUUAUUGUAUUUAUACUGGGUUGUAUCAAUUGUAAUAGUUUCUGCUUGGUUUGGAUAAACUAUAGGGCACAUGUAAAUAGGUGGAUAUUUUCUUUAUUUUUCUUGUAUGGAUCAUAUGUAAUGGUAAUCCCCCUUGAAUUAGGUAAAGCUUGAUUAAGCACUUGAUCAGGCAUUUUGUUGUAUAUGAGGAGAGGUACCGUGGAGGCUAUGAAAAAUCUAGUGUUUUUUGUCACUGUUCUGAAUUUGCUGGGCUAUAUAGAUUUUUUCCCAAUCUAUUUUGGUCA